rnacentral:piRNA from 1 species
GAAUAAAGAAACAGGAAUGUCGUG